rnacentral:lncRNA from 1 species
UUCUGUACAGUCUAAUCUCUAAUUGCCCAUUCGAAUGUCAUUGAAAGAAAAUGUUGUUUUAACCUCAAAAAGAAAAUUAAUGUUCCUUAGAACUUGUUCUAAAAUGACAAGUUUAAUUAUUCCAGCUGCUGUAAAAAGAAGCUACAAAUGAUCUGCCACCAGCAGCAUCCACACGCGAUAGCCUACUAGCUGGGACGAUUUCUGUAUGUAGGGCCCUAUGAAAUCCGUUUUAUUUUUUCCUAAAUUCCGUUUUAUUUAUUUUUUUCCCCAAAUUUUGUUUUUUUGUUUUCAUUUUUCUAGAUUCCGUUUUCAUUUUUCUCAACUCCUUUUUAACUGUUAAAUUCAACUUUAUUAAUCAAAAAUCAUGCUUAAUUAAAAUCAUAAAACAUACAUUUUCACAUCAAUUUAUUAAAAGUUUACCAAAAAUUACUUUUAGGGCCCUAUGAAAUGUUUUAUUUUUUCUCACCAUAUUUUUUAUUAUUACCAAAUUCUGUGUUUUAGGUGUGUUUAAUUAUUUGAAUGCAUAAAACAACUUAAUUUAUUCAUUUUUUUUCCUCAAAGUAGCCUUAUGAACUUUUUUCACCUCAGAAAUUCUGUGUUGUGUAUUUAAAAUUUUCUGGUUAUCAAAUGUAGGCAUAAAACAUUAAUUUAAUUUAUCUUUUAAAUAUUGAAAAUUAAACAAAGGGGAUUGACUAUUAAAAUUCAAACCUGGAAGAAAUGUUGUGUGAUUAUUCCUUAAAAAAUAAAGUUUGUUUCAUUUUAGUAGUAGUAGUAGUAGUAGUAAAAAUAGUAAUAGGCACAAUUUAUUCAAAUCAAACUGGACUUUUAUUUUGACAGGUUGCCAUGAAUACCUUUACAGUUCUUUGUACGUGAUAUAACGCUAGUUUUACUCAAAUCAAACGGUCAAAUGCUCACAGAUAAUGCUGCUUACUUCCUCAUCAGACAGGGUGUGUUUUAUCGCGCAGUGCAACCGUUUUUAUGACUGGAUUCCGCAUUUUCCGCAUCACAGAAAUCAUAGGGGCCUACUUAUGUAUACAGACGUGAUGUAAUGAUGCAAAGAAGCAUGGCAGCGAACUCUGAAAGUGACCCGAAGCACUCAAAUUAGAAAACAUUAUUACAAGUUACCGUUGUGAAUUGGGCUAAGGCUAAGGAGAUAGUUUUGAACACUGACUGGCUAUUUGCUCAAUUAUUGAUUUUGGAUCAUUUUUAACCAAAAGAAAGUCUUAUGUGGACAGAUAAUGCUGCUUCCUUCCUCAUCAGACAGGGUGUGUUUCGUCGCGCGGUGCAACCAGUGACAACAAGUUUCUGUUCCCUGGCAUUUCAGGAAGAGUUCAUUUAGUUGUCCUCUUGAGUCAUGGAAUGCCUUGGGUAGCCAUGCCUGUAAUAUAAAUCCCAGACCUUUCUGAAUACCUUUACAUCUGUAAUAUUUACAGAUACUAGUCCAUAUCGUGAUUUGAUUUAAGUGUAAUGACCUACUUUUGAUUGAUUAAUUCAUUCAAAAUUUGACAAACUCUGUGACAUUCCGCGUUAAACUGUGAAGUCUGUUUUUAUGACUGGAUUCCGCAUUUUCCGCAUCACAGAAAUCAUAGGGGUCUGCUUAUACAGACGUGACGUAAUGACGCAAAGACGCACGGUAGCAAACUCUGAAAGUGACCCGAAGCACUCAAAUUAGAAAACAUUAUUACAAGCUUACCGUUGUGAAUUUGGCUAAGCCUAAGGAGAUAGUUUUGAACAUUGACUGGUUAUUUGCUCAGUUAUUGAUUUUGGAUCAUUUUUAACCAAAAAAAGUCUUAUGUGGACAGAUAAUGCUGCUUCCUUCCUCAUCAGACAGGGAGUGUUUCGUCGCGCGGUGCAACCGGUGACAAGUUUCUGUUCCCUGUUUGGGUAGCCAUGCCUGUAAUAUAAAUCCCACACCUUUCUGACAUCUCAUAUAAAUCUUAGUUUUUCUAUAUUCGAAAAGGCCGAUCAGUGGUUUAGAUAUGCAAAUCGAAGCCAAUUCAUCAGCCAUGCAAAUAGGCAAUAAGAAUGAAUGGGGACAGCAGCUUUCAAGCUUUAAUACAGAAUAGAGAAGCACAAUUAAAAUAUAAUAAAAGUGUACUUACAGUGAGAUAACUGCAUGGGUCAUUUUUGGCCACUUUUAUGAUACUUUAAUUCCUUUUGGUUGCUUUUUGGGGCUUGAAGGUUUCAGUGUCCAUUGAUUGUAAUAGAAAAUGUUCAUUAGAUAUUUGUGCACAGUGGCAUAAGUCGUCAGCAGGUUUUGGAUGACAUGAGAGUCAAUAAAUGAAAGCAUUCUAACAGCCUGGUUAGACACGGGCCACUCUGAAUUCCAUUUGUCAUAGGGAAUCCAGCAGGGGAUGACACCAUCUCAAUCCUCUUCCUGCCAAAGAGGGCAAUUGUGAUGGAAUUCCAGCUAGGAUUUUGGUGCCUUUUGUAACAUUGAGAUGCAAGAUGCAAGCUCCAGGUGGUGUGUAUGAGAAUCUCUGCCACUGCUAUCAGCUGCCAUGUUAAAACAACAGCUAACUAUUUUGCAAGUAAUAAGGUUUAACAUUAUAAAAAAAAAAAACUUAAAAUUGACUUGAAAUCAGAAAGCCAUUAGGCCUACUGAAUUAUCACAUAAAAAAUAGUUGGGUUCUUUGAUUUCCACGAUGCAAAAAACAUGGCUGGAAUCACAGAAUCCAGUCAUAAAUAAUGGCAUUUACAAUAUAACAUGGCACAGAAUUUGCCAAAAUUUGGAUGAAUAAAUCAAAAGUAAAAAGACUUUUUAAAUAUGAAAUCUGCAAGUCUCUUUGUGAAUGAACAGCUAACUAUUUUGCAAGUAAUAAGGUUUAACAUUAAAAAAAAAAAAAAAAAAAAACUUAAAAUUGACUUGAAAUCAGAAAGCCAUUAGGCCUACUGAAUUAUCACAUAAAAAAUAGUUGGGUUCUUUGAUUUCCACGAUGACAAAAAACAUGGCUGGAAUCACAGAAUCCAGUCAUAAAUAAUGGCAUUUACAAUAUAACAUGGCACAGAAUUUGCCAAAAUUUGGAUGAAUAAAUCAAAAAGUAAAAAGACUUUUUAAAUAUGAAAUCUGCAAGUCUCUUUGUGAAUGAGCUGCUCAGCUACUGCACGAAAACUGCACUCUACAAUUCGCCAAAAUAGAAGUUUGGUUAAUUUGAAGAAAUUAUGACAGAAAUAUACUAUUGCACAGAAACAAUUACUUCUAUAGUAAUAACAACAACAGUAAUAGAAGUUAUUAAAAAAAACUUAAGAAAUAUAAAAUGAUUUUUCAUCCAUGUUUUAAUUUAAACUAAAAACCUCUGUUGUAAAGCACUUUUUAAAAAAAUGAAAGGAACUGUUCAAAUUUCAUUUUAUUAAUAAAUCAUAAAACAGAAUCCAGAAAAGUUUAAUCCGAAAACACAAAAAUAAAAAAUACAAAAAUUGGGAAAACAGAUUUUAUAGAGCCCUAAAUAUAGAUAAUAAAUGAGAUUUAUGACAUCAUUAUUCAAAAACAUUAGGUUUUAUGGAUGAAUGUGUGUUGGUUAAACUUUACAAUCUGUGAAUAUAGCUUAAAUGCUCCGAUUUAUAAACCCAGUGGGCUAAGCUUCUACACAACAAACGUACAACUUAAACAACCAACAUCAGCUUAAAGAAUAAAGUGCCAUGAAAUGUAGCAUUCAAAUCGGAGCUCAAAAUACUGAAGAUCAAUAGUUUUGCAGUAAAAAAACUAAAGCCCUUGUCUUGUUGACACUUCACCUCUGAACAUGUUUUUAUGGCUU